rnacentral:lncRNA from 1 species
GUUAGGCUUGUCUCCUUGGCUCUAGCCAUACCAUGUAACAUAUCUGCCUCAUCACCAGGAACAGUUGGAGUUUGAGGUGAUCAAAAGAGAAAAAGGACAAGAAACACAGGAUCACUAACAAAAAAGGAAGAGCCCAAACAGAAGACUUUGCAUUAGAUCCUGGAAAUUAUUGCCAAGAAGGAAUGUGGCUUGAUGGAAGAAAAUCAAUCAAAGAUAUUCCAACUAAGUGUGAAAUAGCUUUGGUCAAUUUAUGUGCUUCUGAUCAGUUCCUGGAUGAACCAGAAUGAAGUUACACAGGAAAGAUAUUUGGAUUGGCUGAGAAACCUUGCCCACAAAGGGAAGAAAAGGAUUCCCAACAACCAGCAGCUCGUCCACCUCUGA